UACUUGUGGCCAGUUUCCUUGCCCUGCCUUUGGAUCUCAUGCUGUGCCCAGUCCUGCAGCCGCUGAACUAGAAGGACCGGACUCCUCGGGCGAACGAUCCAGGAGAAAGUGAGAAUCAUCCUGAACAUCGGGAAUCUGCUGCCGCUGCUACUGCUGCUGAAGCUAUUUCGGCUUCUGCUUUCAGAGUUGAAAGCUGAAUAAAUAACUGUUUCUUUCUUGAUUUUAGGAUUUACCAAUGAAGUGGGCAUGCAGAAAUGGGGACCUCUUAAAAGGAACUAGCUGUGUUCAAGGACACAUGGGCAGCGCCAAGGAUCAAGCCCUUCCCAGCUAUGGGAACCUAAAGGUUCUUGACCCCCCAGGAGAGGAGGUGGAGUCCACUGAGGACCGAAGAACAUCCAGGACAAGAGGAGGCUCUGCCUGGGACUUUUCACUUCAUCUUACUCCGGGGAGUUUAAAAAAUAAAUAAAAUGUGUUACCGACUUUCCUAAGA